rnacentral:pre_miRNA from 1 species
CCAACAUUCGGACCGUCGGUCUACCGAGCAAUAUCACCCGCUCGGUGGAAGAUCUUCCCUUUGUCUU